AAAGAUAUGGUGAAAUUGGUAGACGCUAUGGACUUAAAACCCGUCGAAUUUUGAAAUUGUGAGGGUUCGAGUCCCUCUAUCCCAA
rnacentral:tRNA from 1 species